rnacentral:lncRNA from 1 species
GACCUGAACAUCUCUUCAGGGUUCUAUUUAAUCAUAGCUAUCUAAUUUUUUUCUAAUCUGUACUAUAAUCUGUUCUCUCAGAAAAAUGAGGAUCGAGGAAGAAGCAAGUAAUGUCUCAUCCAUGUAGAUUUAAAUUUGACAUGUUGAAAUUAUUGGCAAUUGCGUGUAUUUUUGUUAUGAAAUGUCUCAUUUAUAGACAAUGUAGAGAGAAAAAACUGUUACAUAAAAUAGCAGCAGAACAUUAAGAAAUAUAGUAUUUGCAGACAUUUAAAGAAUGACGUUACUCUCUAAAAUAUGUCAGAGCUAUUUCCAUUAUACAUUUUUAAAUCUUGAAGAAAAUAACCUUUCAAAAACUUUCCUAGAGAGAGCAAAGAUUUCUCAGAAGUUGUGUUCAAAGACCGGUCCGUCUGGCUGUUGCAGAAUUCUGAUGUCUCCAAGAACGGCGUGUCCUCUAGAAUCUGUUCAGCUACAACCCCACAGAGACAGUCUCCUGAGAUUGACCCUGCCUUUAGCCAAGGACCAAGCUUAUAGGGAGUCUAUUCUUCCGUGA